CAAAUAUCGAAGCAUGUCCUUUUUCUGCAAGCGAAGUCGAUUGUUCCGGACAUCCCUGUAGAGAUCAGAACUUAAAUCUUUUAAUAAACCGGAAAAUCAAUAAAAAACACUUGCGGAUCCCAAUCAGUUAAUCCAUUUCCGGCUAGAAAUCUAGAGCGAUUAAUCAAGGUACUAGUACGAGGACGCUCACAGAAGCUGGAGAUUGGGAACGUUCUGGAACAGCCCAGGCUCCAGGGCAGAAAUGACAAUCUGGCCAAUCAUCACACCUGAAAUCC